UGGGGGAUAUUGCACAAUGGGCGAAAGCCUGAUGCAGCGACGCCGCGUGGGGGAUGAAGGCCUUCGGGUUGUAAACUUCUUUUGCUCUGAACAAGGCGCACCAUGGGGUGUGUUGAGUGUAGGGGUUGAUUAGCGCCGGCUAACUACGUGCCAGCAGCCGCGGUAAUACGUAGGGCGCGAGCGUUGUCCGGAAUUAUUGGGCGUAAAGGGCUUGUAGGUGGCUGGUUGCGUCUGUCGUGAAAGCUCAUGGCUUAACUGUGGGUUUGCGGUGGGUACGGGCUGGCAUGAGUGCAGUAGGGGAGGCUGGAAUUCCUGGUGUAGCGGUGGAAUGCGCAGAUAUCAGGAGGAAUACCGGUGGCGAAGGCGGGUCUCUGGGCUGUUACUGACACUGAGGAGCGAAAGCAUGGGGAGCGAACAGG
rnacentral:rRNA from 1 species